AUGUACCCACGUACAUUCCGGUUCCUCCGCGCCGUCCGCACCCACCUAACAACUGCUCACUACGUUUUGUUAGCC
rnacentral:sRNA from 1 species